AUGAACGCUAGCGGGAGGCCUAACACAUGCAAGUCGAAUGGGAUUGGGAGCUUGCUCCCAUGAGAGUGGCGCACGGGUGAGUAACGCGUAUGCAACCUACCUGUAACAGAGGGAUAGCCCAUAGAAAUGUGGAUUAAAACCUCAUAGUUCUGAAAGAUCGCAUGAUUUUUCAGAUAAAACUCCGGUGGUUACAGAUGGGCAUGCGUGACAUUAGCUAGUUGGUAAGGUAACGGCUUACCAAGGCUACGAUGUCUAGGGGUUCUGAGAGGAUGAUCCCCCACACUGGUACUGAGACACGGACCAGACUCCUACGGGAGGCAGCAGUGAGGAAUAUUGGUCAAUGGGCGCAAGCCUGAACCAGCCAUCCCGCGUGAAGGAUGAAGGUCCUAUGGAUUGUAAACUUCUUUUAUACACCAAGAAAAACUCCCACGUGUGGGAGCCCGACGGUAGUGUAUGAAUAAGCAUCGGCUAACUCCGU
rnacentral:rRNA from 1 species